CCCUCUCGCCACCCCACCCCCUUCACGCUCUUCCUGGUGGUCUGCAGCCCACCCGACCUUUUACUACUAGACUCUCCCUUCGACUUCCCGGUCCAUUUCUGUCUUUUUUAUCUCCCGCUCCUCGGCCAGUUGAACUCAAAAUGUCUGAAGGUGGAGACCAAGGGCAGAAGCAAAAUAAAGCUAAAGCACGAAGCGCCUGCAGGGAAAAGAAACACUUAAAACUCAGCUGCUGAGGAGGAGAAAGCCAGGUGGAAACGAAGAAUUUCCCGAAGGCCUGGGAGGGGACAGAUGUGGGUGGGAACGAAUGUUACAGGCCCGGUUUCAAAACCUAGGGCCGACAAGUCUGAUGAAGUGGCUGUAAAAUCUACUGGAAGGCUCCCUUUGGGCAGGAUGGACAGGAUGUGAGUUCUUGCAAUAGACUCAUAAAAGAAAAUGUCUGCUCGAACCAUUAAUGAAGAUGGGAAAGUCGGCUACACUGAGAAAGUAGAUGUGUCCUCUCCCAAGGCUGUAUGUUGGAGAUGUGUGAAGGAAAAAUCAGUCUAAGACAAGGACACAAAGAAAGAAGACACACAGGAAGGGCAUGGCGGUGUGGUGGUGUGUGCGGUAUAUGCCUCCCGGUGCCUGGGAAGCAGUCUUGCUGCAGGUUCAAGGGCAGCCUGGUCUGUACAGGAGUAUCAGGACAGCAUGGUUAUACAGUAAGACAGAACAACAACAACAACCCACUAGUCUUACUGCAAUUUGGAUGCAAACCUGGCCUCUUCCUGAACCUGUGAUGAAGAGUUUCCACUUCCUCUUUCUGUCCCAUUGCUCAAGAGCUCAUCGCCCUGAAUGAGGGACAUCCAGAGCUGUUCCUUCCAGUGAUUCUCAACCUUUCGAAUGCUGUGACUCCUUAAUACAGUUCCUCCUGUUGUGGUGACCCCCAACCAUAAAGUCAUUUUGUAGCUACUCCAUAACUGUAAUUUUGUUUCUGUUAUGAAUUGUAAUGUAAACCUCUGCUGUGCAGGCUGUGUGCUAUGUGAACCCCCUGGGGGUCUAGUCUCACAGCAUGAGAAGCGCUGCUCAGACGUCAGUCACAGAAGUCUAGUAGUGCUGGGGUUGUUGGAAUUAAACUUUCAGGAUAAUUACUUUGCUCCUGUUGCUACACUUGGAGGGUGAGAUGGUGAGAGCUUCCGUUUUUACCGAAAUACACAUGCAAAAAUACAGGUAAAAAACGCACAAUGGAUUAGCUCUUCUCUGCUAUUCACCUGUCUAACCACUGCUAAAAUCAAGUUCUGGAUUCUAGAACAUUUCUACACCUGGUUCCUGUGCCGGUUCCAGACUGUAACUUCCCUCUUAGAGGAAAGUCCUCAGGAGAAAGAGUGCUCCCUCCCUCCCUCCUACUCUCCAUGUUUCUGUUGGUUUGUUUGUUUUUUAGAUAGGGUCUUGUUUUGUAAUCCAUAUAGUUUGUAACUUCCUAUGUUUAUCCUCAAACUCAGAAUCCUCCUGCCUCAGCAUUCCAAAUGCUAUCAUGCUUCAGAGUGUUGACUACAGGCAAGCUCCAAAGGGCCAGGGCUCCUUGUGUGUGUUGUACACGCCACACACUGUUAAGUGCUAGAAUGUUUUUCAUUAAAUAAGCUGUGUUUUAUUCCUUUGUGUUCCUAGUAUCCUACUCAUGGAUAUACAUACAUUUAUCCAUAUUGAUAUACACAUUAUUAUCAUUAUUAUUGAUUUCUGCAGUACUGGAAACCGAAUGCAGAGACGUGUGAGCUGGCCAAACACUAUUAUGGAGCAAUACUCUCAGUCUUUGGUAUAGACACUGUUGGCUCUCUUUCUGAACAACAUGUAUUUUUUUGUCACCUGUCAAAUGUAUGAAUGUUUUUCUCCUAGAAGUGGGAUGACUAAAUUGCUCUUCGUUAAUAAAUAAUCUCUUUCUUCCUCUCUUCUCUUAUUUUGCAUUGCUGGGGAUUAAACCCAAGCAUGUUAGGUAAGUAGUUUGUUACUGAGCUAUACUCCCAGCCCAAAUAAUCAAUUCUAAACAAAAAUAAGUAAACUAUAGAUUAUAUAUA